CGGCGGACGGGUGAGUAACGCGUGGGUAAUCUACCUCGUAGUUCGGGAUAACAGGCCGAAAGGCUUGCUAAUACCGGAUGAGUUCAUGCUUAUGCAUAUAGGCAUGAAGAAAGGGCUAGCCCGCUAUGAGAUGAGCCCGCGUCCCAUUAGCUUGUUGGUGGGGUAACGGCCUACCAAGGCAACGAUGGGUAGCCGGCCUGAGAGGGUGUACGGCCACACUGGGACUGAGACACGGCCCAGACUCCUACGGGGGGCAGCAGUAGGGAAUUUUCGGCAAUGGGCGAAAGCCUGACCGAGCGACGCCGCGUGAGGGACGAAGGCCUUCGGGUUGUAAACCUCUGUCUGGGGGGAUGAGAACGGACGGUACCCCCGGAGGAAGCCCCGGCUAACUACGUGCCAGCAGCCGCGGUAAUACGUAGGGGGCUAGCGUUGUCCGGAAUUACUGGGCGUAAA
rnacentral:rRNA from 1 species